AUGAAUAAGCCAGUGAAUGGAAACACAGACGCCGCGAUGCAAAUGGGAGGAGCCUCUAUUUCUUGUCCUGGGGCCUCUGCCCAGCUCAAGGGCCCAGCCAGUCCCUGCCGCUCCUGGCCUCCGUUUCCCCACUGUCCCCUGAGGGACGGGUGGUGGGGCUGCAGCAGCCCAGCUCGGCGUGGCCAUGGCCGGGCUCUCCCCGCGGACUGUGGCGGGGACGAGCUCGGAGCUGCAGGGCCUCCCUCCAGCGGCGGACACGGGCAGACCCCGAGGGCAACCCGGCUCCCUUCCUGGCCCUGUGCAGAACUGCCAGAGAAAGCGCGUGCCGGUGACCGCCCGCCGCGCGCACGCGCAUCGCCAAUGGCGCCCAAGAGCCGCUCCCGAGGCUCUUGGCCUGCCAUCUGCUCCGUGGCCGGGUCGGGUGGGGCGUGCGGAGAGGUCCUGGGUCCCGGUGGGCCAGGCUGUGGGCGCGGCGGGGGGAGCCGAGAGAGGGAGCCUGUCCCCCCAGAACCCUCGGCCCCGCGUCCUGGGCCAGCCGGCGCCCAGAGGCCGGCAGAAGAGGCUCCGGGGCCGCAGAGAUGGCCUCUGAGCCCGGAGACCCGCCUGUGGUUCGCCCUGUGGGCCGGACGCAGGGGACGGGGGCCCUUUGCUCCGUGUCCCGGUCCUUUAUCACCGAGGGCUGUUCGUCGGCGUCUGCAGGGACAGCAGGAGACCUCCGUCACCUCGGUGAAGGACACGGCCCUGGCCUGGUCAGCCUGCAGGAGUCUGGGUGCUGACAUGUUGUCGGCCGGCCCUCAGGAGGGUGAGCUUUCUGUUCCUCGUUUCGGCCUGUUGCAGCACCACUGCCAGCUCUGAAACAAGCUCCAGAGCUAGUGCCAGCUCCUCAACCUGCACGACCACCAGCUCCAAAGCUAGCACCACCGUGAGUGCCAGAUCUCGCACCAGCUCUAGUGCCAAAUCUGGACUUAGAGUCGCUUCUGGCACAAGCCGAACAGUUAGGCAGACACACAGCAAACUCUAGCACCAGCUCUUGCAGUAGUUCCCGAGCUGGAGCUCCAGUGCCACUCCCAGAUUUAGUGCCAGCGCUAUCACCAAAUCUAGUAUGAGCUCAGAGCUAGAACUACUUCCAACAUGAGAUGCUCAUGUCAAAGCCCUGGAACUACAACCAGCUCCAGAACUAGCUCUAGCACCAGCUCCAAAGCUAGAACCAGCUUCGUCACUGACUCUGUCACCAACUGCAGAGAGAGAAGAACUCUAUUAUCAACCUAUGAGUCAGCUCCAGCACCAACCCUAACACCAGCUCUAGAGUUUGAAUCAGACCCAACACAAAUUCCAGAGGAACAGAUCAUGACAGGCACUGAACUGGAGCCUACUCCAGCACCAGCUCUGGCGACACACUAGGACUCCAGGUAGCUGUAGCAUGAGAGCCUUCUCUAGAGCUAGUUUCAGCACCAGAACUAGCUCCAGCACCCAAUUCUAAGCUGGAGAAAGCCCCAGUGCCAGCUCCAGAGCUGGAGCCUACUCCAGCACGAGGUCCAAAACCAGAACCAAAUUUCACAUGAGCUCCAGGAGAAGCUCGAGUACUUCAGUGGCCUCCAGAGCCAGCUCCAACCAAAGCUCCAGACUCACGGCCAAUUGGAGCACCAGUUUCAGCACUCAAUCCUCUGCUAGAGCCGGUUCUAUUACUAGCUCCAGAAUUAGAGGAAGCACCAGCUCCACAGCCAGAGGUGCCUCCAACACGAGCUCUACCAAUAGCUUCAGCACCGGGGUUUGAGCCAAGUCCACAACUGGAGCCAACUCCAGAUCCAACACUUAUAUCAACUCCUGAGAUAGAGCCAGCUCCACCUUCAGCUCC
rnacentral:lncRNA from 1 species